CCUACGGGAGGCAGCAGUGAGGAAUAUUGGUCAAUGGGAGGAAUCCUGAACCAGCCAUGCCGCGUGCAGGACGACGGCUCUACGAGUUGUAAACUGCUUUUGUACCGGGGUAAAAUGCUCUACGUGUAGGGUUUUGAAAGUACGGUACGAAUAAGGAUCGGCUAACUACGUGCCAGCAGCCGCGGUCAUACGUAGGAUCCGAGCAUUAUCCGGAGUGACUGGGUGUAAAGAGUUGCGUAGGUGGCAUAAUAAGUAGCUAGGGAAAUUUGGUGGCUCAACCAUUCAGACUAUUAGCUACACUGGUAGUCUUGAGAGCAUGAGGGGUAACUGGAAUUUGUAGUGUAGGGGUGAAAUCUGUAGAUAUUAGGAAGAACACCGAUAGCGAAGGCAGGUUACUGGGACGGUUCUGACACUAAGGCACGAAAGCGUAGGGAGCAAACGGGAUUAGAUACCCCUGUAGUC
rnacentral:rRNA from 1 species